GCUAAGCCCUAAACAUUGAUUAGCUAACAUACUAGACUUUCCGCCAGAGGAUUACAAGUGAAAAACUUAAAACUCAAAGGACUUGACGGUAUCCCAUAUCGACCUAGAGGAGCCUGUCCUAUAAUCGAUACCCCUCGUUCCACCCAACCUCAACUAGCAAAAUAACAGCCUAUAUACCUGCCGUCGAUCAGCCUACCCCGUGAGGGUCCAACAGUAGACAUAAUAACCCAACCUGCUAAUACGUCAGGUCAAGGUGUAGCAAAUGUUGAGGAAGAGAUUGGCUACAUUUUUUAACAUAAAAAACACGAAAAGCACCAUGAAACCGUGCAUGAAGGUGAAUUUAGUAGUAAAAUAGAUAAGAGUGUCUAUUUUAACAACGCUCUGGGAUGCGUACACACCGCCCGUCACCCUCCUCAACAACAAAAAUCCAACCUUUAUAAACCCAAAAAACAAAACAGAGGAGGC
rnacentral:rRNA from 1 species